GGCGCCCGCAGGCCCUCCUGACAGGGGAUUAGACUGCGCUGCCGUGAGGCGGCAGCUGAGGGAGUGCUGUGAAGCGGACAACCAACCACCUGCCCCAGGCGAAGGGCGCUCCGGGCGGCGGGGGCGAAGGGGGAAGGGGGGACAUGUAGAGUUGCAGCCCUCCCUCGUCUCUCUUCCCUCUCCGCCCCGCCCGGCGCAGCGCAUGCCAGAGCCAGCCGCGGAGAGCCGUUUGUGUCGGGGAAGGGCUCCGCCGAGAACAUAGUAAUUAACAGUUUAAACAAAGAGAUGCACCAUGGGAUGCCCAUCAAGAAAGCACAUAGCUGUGCACUCAUUUCUGAUGGACUGACUACUUGAAGCUGCUGUAGCUAGAGAUGGGGAAGUAGGAAGUAUUUCUUGUCUCACUGAGCUCUUUCAGGUGGGAUUACUGGCUGACAUCUGUUCAACUCUAUCUUCAAUCCAGAUAGUGGCUGUCAGGCUGAAGAGUCCAAUGUGG
rnacentral:lncRNA from 12 species